AUGACCUGGAUGGCCCUUCUCCUCAGCCUCCUGGCUCAUUGCACAGGAACUGAAGCCUCUUAUGUGCUGACCCAGCCAUCCUCAGUAUCCGUGACCCCAGGACAGACGGCCAGAAUCACCUGUGAAGGCAACAGCAUUGGCAGCUAUAGCGUGCACUGGUAUCAGCAGAAGCCAGCACAGGCCCCAGUACUGGUCAUCUAUAGUGAUAGCAACAGGCCCUCAGGGAUUUCUGAUCGAUUCUCUGGCUCCAAUUCUGGGAACACAGCCACCCUGACCAUCAGCGGGGCYCAGGCUGGAGACGAGGCUGACUAUUACUKUCAGGUGUGGGAUUACCCUGUUGCUCACAGUGACACAGGCAGACAGGGAAGUGAGACAAAAACCUGCUACCAGCAUGGCACCCAUGGCCCCUUCCUGCCCUGGCCACCCUGA